rnacentral:rRNA from 1 species
UACGUAUGGGGCAAGCGUUAUCCGGAUUCAUUGGGCGUAAAGGGCACGCAGGCGGACCGACAGGUCGUUUGUGAAAGGCGAGGGCUCAACCCUGGACGUGCACUGGAAACUGGUUGGCUUGAGUGCAGGAGAGGAAAGUGGAAUUCCCAGUGUAGCGGUGAAAUGCGUAGAUAUUAGGAGGAACACCAGUGGCGAAGGCGGCUUUCUGGCAUACAACUGACGCUGAGGCGCGAAAGCGUGGGGAGCGAACGGG